CCGCCUGGGGAGUACGACCGCAAGGUUGAAACUCAAAGGAAUUGACGGGGGCCCGCACAAGCGGUGGAGCAUGUGGUUUAAUUCGAAGCAACGCGAAGAACCUUACCAGGUCUUGACAUCCUUUGACCACUCUAGAGAUAGAGCUUCCCCUUCGGGGGCAAAGUGACAGGUGGUGCAUGGUUGUCGUCAGCUCGUGUCGUGAGAUGUUGGGUUAAGUCCCGCAACGAGCGCAACCCUUAUUGUUAGUUGCCAUCAUUCAGUUGGGCACUCUAGCAAGACUGCCGGUGACAAACCGGAGGAAGGUGGGGAUGACGUCAAAUCAUCAUGCCCCUUAUGACCUGGGCUACACACGUGCUACAAUGGGAAGUACAACGAGUUGCGAAGUCGCGAGGCUAAGCUAAUCUCUUAAAGCUUCUCUCAGUUCGGAUUGCAGGCUGCAACUCGCCUGCAUGAAGCCGGAAUCGCUAGUAAUCGCGGAUCAGCACGCCGCGGUGAAUACGUUCCCGGGCCUUGUACACACCGCCCGUCACACCACGAGAGUUUGUAACACCCG
rnacentral:rRNA from 1 species